rfam:Camelus ferus unplaced genomic scaffold scaffold917, whole genome shotgun sequence.
GGUGGUAUAGCUCAAGUGGUAGAACACAUGCCUAGCAUGCACAAGGUCCUGGGUUCAAUGCCCAGUACCUCCU